UACAGAGGGGGCAAGCGUUGUUCGGAAUUACUGGGCGUAAAGCGUGCGUAGGCGGUUCGUUAAGUGCGUCGUGAAAGCCCCGGGCUCAACCUGGGAAUGGCGAUGGAAACUGGCGGGCUGGAGUAUGGCAGAGGGGGGUGGAAUUCCCGGUGUAGCGGUGGAAUGCGUAGAGAUCGGGAAGAACACCAGUGGCGAAGGCGGUCUGCUGGGCCGUUGCUGACGCUGAGGCGCGACAGCGUGGGGAGCAAACAGG
rnacentral:rRNA from 1 species